GUUUUGAUGGUGAAAUGGUAGACAUGCAUGACUCAAACUCUCGUGCUAAAGAGCGAGGAGGUUCAAGUCCUCUUCGAGGCG
rnacentral:tRNA from 1 species